rnacentral:lncRNA from 1 species
UCGAAUCAAAGCUCCCAAAAACGAUGAAUCUGGCGUAUCUAAUUGCUUCACUGCCUCCUCGGUGGUUAGUAAGCCCACCACCCAUAACUAUCGAUAUAGGUGUAGAUACGAUCAUCAUCCCCACAAAACUCUCUCUCCUCCACCAUCGGACACACCACCUCCACCUCCGUAACGACAGCUGUAGCCGCCAUCAACUCAUCCGACCCUGUUGAAAAGGUUCACUUCUGUUCUUAAUUAUUCCCCCUUUAUUUUCUUUCCAUUUAUACUAACUGGAAUUGAACUAAUGGCUAAAUUGAUACACUUAACUUUAGACAAUCGCUACUUAAUUAGAAGUUGAUAUAAUAGAACAUAUUAACUACCCCAAACUCUAAAAACAAUCAACCUUAGUCAAACAAUCAUAAAGAUUGCUCUUUUCAACUGAUGAAAGACUAAUUCUUUAUCUAUUUAUUAUACUCGUUCUUUAUUUGAAACAAGCAAGCAGCAACAAAUACUACUUUGUUGUUGCCAACGCAAAAUUCAUGCUGGAUGAAGAGGAACUUUUUCAGGAGCAAUUGGCUGAGCGUAUCCGCCUCUACGUAACUUAGAGCAGGACUUUUGGCUUGUGAUUGAACCCAAGUUCUUGGAUAAGUUUCCCAACUUCACCAAGAGACUAAAGAGACCCGCCGUUGCUCUUGUUUCAACCAAUGGCCCCUGGAUCACGUAAGACCACUUCAAAUUUAAUCAUUCAUACUCCAAAUUAUUUACUUGAAUAUUGUCAUGUCCUAGUUUUUGGCUUUUGCAUUAACAAACAUUCUAUUUGCUGCAAAAUAAUGAAAAUUAUUAGUUUGAUUUAACCGGGUAUAUAGGUAGCUCCAACAAAUACAAUAACCCUUGCCUAAAUUUUUUAUGUGCCCCAUUCAGGACAUGUGUCUAGAACUCUAUGGAGAUGGGAGUUUUGAGUUGAAUUGUUCAGUCUUUUGCGGUAUGAUAACAAUGUGUAUAUUACAAGGAAUGAACAACAGUUUCUUUUUCUUGUUUAUAAACAACUGAAGAAUUGACAAAUUAGAAACAGUCUCUCUGUUGAUCCACUACGACUUUGGACAUGGAUUUAGGCAGGUUCAUGAAGUUGAGAUUGACAGCUAUGAAGCUGACAGUCUAGAAGAAGCAUUGGCAUCUAAUCCUGUCAAACUAGAGUUUGAGAAGCCAGAAAGCUGGGUGGCCCCAUGCCCAAAAUAUGAGUCUGGGUGGUGGGAGCCCUUCUUGCCUGCAAGUUCUGUGAAGCAAAAAAUAUGAUACUAUAACCUUUUGUCCUUUUUCCAGUGUAACAUAAUGUACCAGUAACCUGAAGAUGGCGCGGCUUGGAAUAAGUUAAUGAAGGCAGUUGAUAUUCAUAUCAAAGUUCAGGGAACAUCAAACACCUAUGUAAGAUUUGAGAGGCAGGCAUGUCAGAGACUAUUAAUUGAGCAGUGUUUUGUGUAACCAACCCAAGUAGUUGUAGGGCUGUAGACUUUGAUGAGUGAAAUGUAUUUGGUUCAGAAAAUGUGUGUAUUAAGUUGAGGAAUACUUUGAAAUUUAUUACGCAAUCCAAGUUGUUGCAACUUCUGAAACUUUGUCAAUCAAGUUUAUUGUCUUUGGGAUCCUCAUUCUUGGGGCAUAUUUACAAGUGAGGCUCCUGUGAAGAUGUGGCUUGCAUAAUACAUAUGCCAUGUUAUUUAA